rnacentral:rRNA from 1 species
UACAGAGGGUGCUAGCGUUGUUCGGAAUCAUUGGGCGUAAAGGGUGCGUAGGCGGCGCGGAAAGUUGGGUGUGAAAUCCCUCGGCUCAACCGAGGAACUGCGCCCAAAACUACCGUGCUCGAGGAAGAUAGAGGUGAGCGGAACUUACGGUGGAGCGGUGAAAUGCGUUGAUAUCGUAAGGAACACCCGUGGCGAAAGCGGCUCACUGGGUCUUUUCUGACGCUGAUGCACGAAAGCUAGGGGAGCAAACGGG